CAGAACAUUAACAAGAAGCCCCGGAUAGACAAAAAAACCCAAUUAUGUCAUUUUGUGUCAAUUGUCAGCUCUCUAAUGUUUGUUGAAUUACAGUAUUUGUUCCCGACGGCUGCUAUGAGGAUGUGUGGUGGCUAGCAGCUAUGAGAUGUUAACAGAUUUGGUGAAAAGUGAGUAAACGCUGAACACUUUGGCGUUAAUGUGCCCUGACGUUAGCUUGUCUGCUGUUAAGUUAGCAGGGUGGCGAUGAAGCUACACGUUUAGUUUCGGGUUAUUUGUGUGAACUCUCUUGCUCUGCUUAGCCAGCGUUUAGCCUUGCUAACACAUUAGCAGUGCUCGUCUUGUUUUGUAUCGGUCGUGAAUUAGCGACGGAAUAUGUCGCAACAUAACUCUCUGUUCGCUUUUGGACGGUUGUGUUAGCUUUAGCUCGGAAGCGAUAAGUUAGCCCGUUAGCUAAAAAAUAUAUAUGUGUGUGUGUGUGUGUGUGUGUGCUCCCACAGGACUGACAACACAAUGCGAAGGCGAGAUGCUGCUCUCUGAUUGGUCCGCCUGUUACCAUCCGGAACAUGGUAGAAGGCGGAGCUUCACACACAGCUGAUCGAGGAACAACAAGCGUGCUGUACGGGGCACAUGCAGGGAUGAGGCGGGGGUGAGGAGGAGGAGGUGGGCUGGGAACAUCCAGUCCACGGCAGGGACAGGACAGGACAGGGGCUGCAGGCUGAGGAGGUGGACGACUUGUGUCCACGUUGCUUCUGGAGAGCAAACAGACAGCUGCUGAUGAAACUGUUUGUUGGUUUGCGGAUCAAUACAAGAUUCAUCAGCAACAGUUCUGAGAAUCUUUGCUGUCAUUUGCUUUAUUUUCUUUAGGGUCACACAGAACAACAAUUUUAAGAUGUGCAAUUAAACAAACGUUAAUGAGAGAGUAACUGAUGUGUAAAUCAA